rnacentral:rRNA from 1 species
UGGUUUGUCGCGUUGUUCGUGAAAUCUCACGGCUUAACUGUGAGCGUGCGGGCGAUACGGGCAGACUUGAGUACUGCAGGGGAGACUGGAAUUCCUGGUGUAGCGGUGGAAUGCGCAGAUAUCAGGAGGAACACCGGUGGCGAAGGCGGGUCUCUGGGCAGUAACUGACGCUGAGGAGCGAAAGCGUGGGGAGCGAACAGGAUUAGAUACCCUGGUAGUCCACGCCGUAAACGGUGGGUACUAGGUGUGGGUUUCCUUCCUUGGGAUCCGUGCCGUAGCUAACGCAUUAAGUACCCCGCCUGGGGAGUACGGCCGCAAGGCUAAAACUCAAAGAAAUUGACGGGGGCCCGCACAAGCGGCGGAGCAUGUGGAUUAAUUCGAUGCAACGCGAAGAACCUUACCUGGGUUUGACAUGCACAGGACGCCGGCAGAGAUGUCGGUUCCCUUGUGGCCUGUGUGCAGGUGGUGCAUGGCUGUCGUCAGCUCGUGUCGUGAGAUGUUGGGUUAAGUCCCGCAACGAGCGCAACCCUUGUCUCAUGUUGCCAGCGGGUAAUGCCGGGGACUCGUGAGAGACUGCCGGGGUCAACUCGGAGGAAGGUGGGGAUGACGUCAAGUCAUCAUGCCCCUUAUGUCCAGGGCUUCACACAUGCUACAAUGGCCGGUACAAAGGGCUGCGAUGCCGCGAGGUUAAGCGAAUCCUUUUAAAGCCGGUCUCAGUUCGGAUCGGGGUCUGCAACUCGACCCC